GUGCGAUCACUCAAGGGCACACGGUGGAUGUCUUGGCGUCCAGAGGCGAUGAAGGACGUGGUCACCUGCGAAAAGCCACGGGGAGCCGGUAAACAGGCUGCGAUCCGUGGAUGUCCGAAUGGGGAAACCCACCUCAAAUGAGGUACCCGGCCCUGAAUGCAUAGGGGUCGUGGAGCGAACGUGGGGAACUGAAACAUCUAAGUACCCACAGGAAAAGAAAGCAACAGCGAUUCCGUCAGUAGCGGCGAGCGAACGCGGAUCAACUGGUGGACGAGCGAACGCGUUGGAAUGCGCGGCCAGAGAAGGUGAAAGCCCUGUAGUCGAAAGCCAGCCAGCCCUAGAGUAGAUUCGGGCUCGGGAAACCCGGAUUGAAGAUGGGGGGUCCACCCUCCAAGGCUAAAUACUCCUGGACGACCGAUAGUGAACCAGUAAGGCGACUGAAUGAUGACAAGCACCGCGAUGAGCGGGGUGAAAGAGUACCUGAAACCGUGUGCCUACAAGCGGUCGGAGGUCUUCGGACUGACGGCGUGCUUUUUGCAUAAUGAGCCGGCGAGUUAGUCUGCACGGCGAGCCUAAGCCUUAUCGGGGCGGAGGCGGAGCGAAAGCGAGUCUGAAACGGGCGUUAAGUCGUGCGGGCUAGACGCGAAACCUUGUGAUCUACCGUUGGCCAGGCUGAAGGGCGGGUAACACCGCCUGGAGGGCCGAACGGGUGACCGUUGAAAAGGUCUCCGAUGAGCUGACGGGAGGGGUCAAAGUCCAAUCAAACUGGGAGAUAGCUCGUUCUCUCCGAAAUAACUUUAGGGUUAGCCUCAGGUGUCAGCAUGUGGGGGUAGAGCGACUGGAUGAUGGUCGGGGCCUACCCGGCUACCGCUGUCAACCAAACUCCGAAUACCACAUGUAUUGGCCUGGGAGAUAGACCCCGAGUGACAAUAUCCGGGGUCAAAAGGAGAACAAUCCAGACCACCAGCUAAGGUCCCUAAUGCUCGCUAAGUUCGAAAGGAAGUCAGUCUGCGGUGACAGCCAGGAUGUUGGCUUAGAAGCAGCCAUCAUUUAAAGAGUGCGUAAUAGCUCACUGGUCGAGGAGACUGGCGCCGAUAAUGAUCGGGAAUAAGCGGGCAGCCGAAGCUGUGGGCUCGAAAGAGCGGUAGGAGAGCGUUCCUGGUGCGGCGAAGCGGUUCCGUAAGGGGUCGUGGAGCGCCAGGAAGUGAAUAUGCCGGCUUGAGUAACGAUUAGGCAGGUGAGAAUCCUGCUCGCCGAAUACCCAAGGUUUCCUGGGGAAGGUAAAUCCGCCCAGGGUGAGCCGGGGCCUAAGACGAGGCCGAAAGGCGUAGUCGAUGGACAUCAGGUUAAUAUUCCUGAGCCAGCACCAAGGACGCAUCCCGGAGUUCCGCGGCCUAACCAGAUUGGCAGGCCCUUGUGGCCGACGCGGGGCGAAGGGGUGACCAGAAAUACAGGUGCGUAGCCCGUACCAAAACUGACACAGGUGGGUGUGGUGAAUAACCUCAGGCGCUCGAGAGAACGGUCGUGAAGGAACUAGGCAAGUUAACCCCGUACGUUCGCAAGAAGGGGGCCCUCGCCGCGAGGCAGGGCGCAGAGAAAAGGGACUGGGAACUGUUUAUCAAAAACACAGCACUGUGCCAACACGCAAGUGGAUGUAUACAGUGUGACGCUUGCCCAAUGCUGGAAUGUCAUGGAAGGGGGUCAUCGCAAGAGAAGCUCUCGACCUAAGCACCAGUCAAUGGCGGCCGUAACUAUGACGGUCCUAAGGUAGCGAAGUUCCUUGUCGGGUAAGUUCCGACGCGCAUGAAUAGCGUAAUCACUGGUCUCCUGUCUCCACGACCGACUCGGUGAAAUAGUAGUGGCGGUGAAGAUGCCGCCUCCCCGCAGCAAGACGGAAAGACCCCGUGGACCUUCACUGCAGGCUCGUAUUGGCCAUGAGCAUACGCUGCGUAGCAUAGGUGGGAGACUUUGAAGCCCUUGUUCCGGCUUGGGCUGAGUCACAAUGUGAAAUACCACCCUUUGUACGUUUGUGGCCUAACCUCGAUUCCCGUCAUCCGGGCGAGGGACAGUUCGUGUCGGGCAGUUUGACUGGGGCGGUCUCCUCCAAAAGAGUAACGGAGGAGUGCAAAGGUCGGCUCAGCACGGAUGGAAACCGUGUCGAGAGUGCAAGAGCACAAGCCGGCUUUACUGCGAGACAGACAUGUCGAGCAGUCACGAAAGUGGGCUCUAGUGAUCCUGCGAUCCCGAGUGGAAGGGUCGUAGCUCAACGGAUAAAAGGUACCCCGGGGAUAACAGGCUGAUCGCGCCCGAGUCUCGAUCAGCCGCGCCGCCACACCGCCGCCGCGCUGCGUGGGCUCGACCCACACGUCAUGCACCCAGCCGCACUC
rnacentral:rRNA from 1 species